CGCGAAUGGCUCAUUACAACAGCUAUAAUUUACUUGAUCUUGACUUCCUACUUGGAUAACUGUGGUAAUUCUAGAGCUAAUACAUGCACCAAAGCUCCGACCUUACGGGAAGAGCGCAUUUAUUCGAACAAAACCAAGCGGCUUCGGCCGUCCGCAGUUGACUCAGAAUAACUAAGCUGAUCGCAUGGUCUUGAACCGGCGACGUGUCUUUCAAGUAUCUGCCUUAUCAACUUUCGAUGGUAGUGUAUCUGACUACCAUGGUGGUGACGGGUAACGGAGGAUAAGGGUUCGACUCCGGAGAAGGGGCCUGAGAAAUGGCCACUACGUCUAAGGAUGGCAGCAGGCGCGCAAAUUACCCACUCUCAGAAUGAGGAGGUAGUGACGAGAAAUAACGAGACCGCUCUCUACGAGGCCGGUCAUCGGAAUGGGUACAAUUUAAACCCUUUAACGAGUAUCUAUGAGAGGGCAAGUCUGGUGCCAGCAGCCGCGGUAAUUCCAGCU
rnacentral:rRNA from 1 species